UACGGGGGGGGCAAGCGUUGUUCGGAAUUACUGGGCGUAAAGGGCUCGUAGGUGGCCAACUAAGUCAGACGUGAAAUCCCUCGGCUUAACCGGGGAACUGCGUCUGAUACUGGAUGGCUUGAGUUUGGGAGAGGGAUGCGGAAUUCCAGGUGUAGCGGUGAAAUUCGUAGAUAUUCGGAAGAACACCAGUGGCGAAGGCGACUUACUGGACACAUAUUGACGCUGAGGUGCGAAAGCGUGGGGAGCAAACAGG
rnacentral:rRNA from 1 species